rnacentral:tRNA from 1 species
GCCGGAGUGGCGGAAUUGGCAGACGCGCCGGAUUCAAAAUCCGGUGCCCGUUAAGGGCGUGUGGGUUCGAGUCCCACCUCCGGCAC